rfam:Picea glauca, whole genome shotgun sequence.
AUGUACAUGCCUACAACAUAGCGUUAAUGCACCAGAUCCCAUUAGAACUCCGUAGUUAAGUUCACUCAGGCUAGAGUGGUACUGAGAUGGGUGACCACCCGAGAAGUCCUAGUAUUUUAUAUU